rnacentral:rRNA from 1 species
GACAGAAGAUGCAAGCGUUACUCGGAAUUACUGGGCGUAAAGGGUCCGCAGGUUCUUUGCCACGUCUGGGGUAAAAGCACGUCGCUCAACGGCGUGUACGUCCCGGAAACGAGCAGAGUUGAGCCAUUCAGAGGCAUCUGGAAUGCCGUGUGUAGGGGUAAAAUCCGUUGAUCCACGGUGGAACGCCAAAAGCGAAAGCAGGAUGCUGGGAAUGUGCUGACACUCAUGGACGAAAGCGUGGGGAGCAAACGGG